rnacentral:rRNA from 1 species
CGGACGGGUGAGUAACGCGUGAGUAACCUGCCGUGGAGAGUGGGAUAACACAUCGAAAGGUGUGCUAAUACCGCAUAUGACAGCAGUAUCACAUGAUACAGCUGUGAAAGAUUUAUCGCUCCAUGAUGGACUCGCGUCUGAUUAGCUGGUUGGUAGGGUAGAGGCCUACCAAGGCGACGAUCAGUAGCCGGACUGAGAGGUUGAUCGGCCACAUUGGGACUGAGACACGGCCCAGACUCCUACGGGAGGCAGCAGUGGGGAAUAUUGCGCAAUGGGGGCAACCCCGACGCAGCAACGCCGCGUGAAGGAAGAAGGUCUUCGGAUUGUAAACUUUUGCCUUUGGUGAAGAUAGUGACGGUAGCCAAGGAGGAAGCCACGGCUAACUACGUGCCAGCAGCCGCGGUAAUACGUAGGUGGCAAGCGUUGUCCGGAUUU